rnacentral:rRNA from 1 species
CAGUCGCCGCGGUAAUACGAAGGGGGCUAGCGUUGCUCGGAAUCACUGGGCGUAAAGGGUGCGUAGGCGGGUUUUUAAGUCAGGGGUGAAAUCCUGGAGCUCAACUCCAGAACUGCCCUUGAUACUGGGAAUCUUGAGUAUGGGAGAGGUGAGUGGAACUGCGAGUGUAGAGGUGAAAUUCGUAGAUAUUCGCAAGAACACCAGUGGCGAAGGCGGCUCACUGGCUCAUUCUAGACGCUGAGGUGCGAGAGCGUGGGGAGCAAACAGGAUUAGAUACCCCAGUAGUCCCUGUCUCUUAUAC